rnacentral:rRNA from 1 species
CCUACGGGAGGCAGCAGUGGGGAAUAUUGGGCAAUGGGCGCAAGCCUGACCCAGCAACGCCGCGUGAAGGAAGAAGGCUUUCGGGUUGUAAACUUCUUUUCUUAGGGACGACGAAAGUGACGGUACCUGAGGACUAAGCCACGGCUAACUACGUGCCAGCAGCCGCGGUAAUACGUGGGUGGCACGCGUUAACCGGAUUUAUUGGGUGUAAAGGGCGGGUAGGCGGGAGCGUAAGUCAGAUGUGAAACCUCAGGGCACAAACCUGUGCCUGCAGUUGAAACUGGUUUUCUUGAGUGCGGGAGAGGCAAUCGGAAUUCGGGGUGUAGCGGUGAAAUGCGUAGAUAUAC